rnacentral:lncRNA from 1 species
CGAGAAGCUCGCCGGGGAGUCGGCCAAGCUGGCGAGGUACAACAAGAAGCCCACCAUCACCUCCCGGGAGAUCCAGACCUCCGUCCGCCUCGUCCUCCCCGGCGAGCUCGCCAAGCACGCCGUCUCCGAGGGCACCAAGGCCGUCACCAAGUUCACCUCCUCCUAGGCUGAAUCUGAAUGCGUCGCCUUGUUGUAGUUGGCUGCUGUUGACUCUGCUUAUCUCUCUCAAGUAGUGGUAGUAGUAGUUGUGCACUAGAUGAUUGCCAACGCUUUGUUGGAUCCUUGGUUGUUGCUUUUGCAAGCUGAUAUCUAUGUAGAAUGUGGAAGUUGUGGUUGUGUAUCCGUAUCCACAGUGAUGAUUUGACAGAUGUUGGCUUUUCUACUCUUCUGAACUGAACGCAGCCAUGCCUGGCCAAUUUGCAUUUUGUCUGCGAGUUCUAGUGCUGAUUGAUCGGAAUGCAAACUGAGAUGCGAUUUAGACUAAUGAUGCAUUGAUGCUGUUUGUGAUUUCUUCAGUCUGUGAUUUUAUUUAGAAGAACAGCAAUUGCUUGCACUAAUCUCUGCCGUGUGUUUCUGCUUUCGUACGGUAGUAAGUUCAGUCUGCAGACCCCUGAUCCUCCAUCAGCAGGUUCCGUUUCUGCACGAGAUCGAGAAAACCAGUGUUCAGUGGAACAUGGCAAUGCAGAAUUGAGUCUUGUUCUUGUUUUGGCACCCCAGUAAUUAGCAUCGCUGAUGCAUUACUCUGCGAUUAGUGUCAGUCAAUUGGCAAACCAGUCUGCAGCAGCUUGGCUUCGCUGUUUUAUUGCCUCGCUCUUCAUUGAAGAAAACUUACAUGCCUUCUACGCACAUUUUGUGUGCCAUGGAACGGAAGGUAUGCUCUUGUCCUGUGGCCGGAGCUUCAGUCUUGGCAGCAUCGUGUGCUGAAAAUAGGAAAUGAGUUAUCCACAAUCAGUCGAAGGAUUAGAAACUUUUGUGACUUACGACGGCAGUAUUUUUUGCGUCUGUAUGACUAUCUGUGCUGUUCUGUAAUACCACUAGCCAUUAGUACGCACAAGGUAGAAGCAGUGGCGUAGCCACAGGGUGGCCAGGGUGGUCCAUGGACCACCCUGGGAUUUGGCCCACCAUCAGCCCAUGAGUAAUAUUUUUUAGCAUUCAGAGAGAGAGAGAGAGAGAGAGAGAGAGAGAGAGAGAGAGAGAGAAAACAUAGGCCAGCUACGGGAGCCACAUUACCAUUUCCAAGUACUUGCACAAGGCUAAUCUGCCUGCUGAUCGUUCUCAACUUCCGUUCCUGACUAAAUAUAUGGAGAUGCAACUUAUUCUGAGCUUCGACGCUCCUGAUUCCUCCUGAAUGGCUACAGCUAGCUAGCAGAGACAACAUGGCACGGGGCAACGCAGGCGGCCGGCAGCAUGCUGCAGGUAGAGGGGUUGGUUUCCCGGUGUUGUGUGGCAUCCGGCAGUAGAAGGCAGGGUGUCGGGGUGUGUGUCNNNNNNNNNNGGGGGGGGCUUGAGCCGCUGAACAAGUGCACCGACCGACCGAUGUCAACACAUCUAUUCUUUUUAAGUUCUCAUCUCUUUCCAGGUAUGUUCUCAAUUUUUCCUUUCAUGGUUUGAAUAAGCUUAACUGAGAGUGCAAAUCUCAACCUUUUUUUGCUUUCUGGGUUUGUCUAUAUUAAUGCUUGAACUGGAAAUUGAUUAUAAUAGAUUCACUCUGAUUGAGAGUUUCACUGAUUAAAAGAUACUCCCUCCGUACGAAAAAGUUUGUCCCAAGUUUGUCCCUCAAAUAGAUGUAUCUAUCACUAACUUGUUGCUAGAUACAUCUAUUUGAGGGACAAGUUUUUUUGGACGGAGCGAGUAUUAUAGAAAUGUUGCAAAAAGAAGAGGGUUGGAGACAUUGCAUCCUUUUAUUGAUUUGUGCUUUUGAUAAAUUCUAUAUUCAAAAGAUAGCAUGUUGUGUUCUUGUCCAAAAAAUUGUGUCAGUUGGACCACCCUGGAUCGAAAUCCUGGCUACGCCACUGGGUAGAAGAGAUCUUUGGAGUGGGACAUGUGGAGCGAGCCAUGGUUCUUGAAGAUGCAUGCGAUUUUGCUGCAUUGAAGCAACUGAAAGAAAGUGACACACAGCUGAAGUGGCAAUGGAAUGGCGUCAGCGUAUGAAACGUUUCUAGGGUUUGGGUUCAGCUUAUUCCACGUGCUGGGUGAUGCUACUCCCUUGAACUAAAACCAUGACGAGUAAUUUGGAACGAAGGGAGUAGUUUACAAAGUACUGUACGAUACUAUGUACAAGCAAUGCCUUGCAAAAUAUGUCCCUCAAAUGUUCCGAUUCACAUACUAGUAAAUGGUAAUGACUUCGUUUUUGACGAGCUACUUUGGAGGUCCAAAAAGUUUCGGAUCAACAAUGGAGUCGUGUUGAGUUCGGAUGAAGAUGUGAUCCGUCCGUUUUUCCUUCGGUGACCGUUAUGAUGGUGUUGGAGAAGGGUGACGGAAGCUGGCAUCAUGCUCAAGAGAUUUUUCGGUCUUGCUUGUAAUUUCCUUUUUGGGUCAGUGUCUAUGUGACUUAUACUUUAUUCUUCGGUAACCGCCUUAUCCUCUGAUGCUGGUCGGGUAAACAUUUUUUGAAUUAUAAAAAUGUGUGCACAUUUCUUUAUCUUAGAUUGCACAUUUUUUUGUGCAACUUUAGUACUUUCAAUAUUCAAGUCGGCCGAAAUCAAACCGGGAGGUUUUCUUUUGUGGGAAUGCCAAAGUAGGUUAAGCUACAUUUUUUAGCAAACAACUAACUUUCUUAAUAAUUAAUCAAAGUUCUUCAAAAGUCACAUCUUUAACUGAAGUCAAAUGAAUGUCAAAAUUGUAUAAGCUGGGCUAACCUUAACUUUUUUUUGAAAAGCUGCAUAGACACCCAUGAGGUAUCUAGAGCAUGUGUGUGGUUGGGGUCACACCCCUUGCAAGGCAAGCCAUUGAGUUGUCACUUGAGCACUAUCAUCAUCACACCACCAUCACUACCACCACCGCCCUGAUGAUAAUCCAAUUGAACUAGAGCCGACUAUCUGUCCAAACAAAACACCAAAUGCUUCUUGGUUUCGGGUGCAUGGUCUAUGAAUGCCACACCAUGGCAAAAAAUAUAGCCGCACAAUAUUUAUUAUAAUGUCAUCGCGAAAAACAAACCUAAAUGAAACAACCUAAAAACAUAACUAUGACAUUGAUCUGUAGUUCUCCCACUCUCGGCUUGUGACAGAAAAACCGGGAGAAAAGCUUUUUUUAGGAGUGAAGAGAGAAAUUUGGCAGAGUAACAAAAAAAAUGGAGCUUUCCGUCGGGUGGCCAAAGUUUUUUCUAGCCUUGGUGGCUGAAGGUUAACUGGGUGGGCCAGGUGGCAAAUCACGACUACACACAAAUAGGUUUGCCACAUGGGCUUCAGUAACUGUUGGGCAAUAUAUUCUGUGGGCUCAGGCCAUGGCCGCGGAAGUGCAUACAACCCAGGCUCUAGUUUGCCUAAAAAGUACCCAGGCCCCGCUUGGGAGACCUGGAAAAUAUACCCCUGUAAAUAUUUCUACAUUUGUAUUUUACUUGUCACCAAUGGAAGGGGGGGACCUAUUUGGCGCGCGGGUCACCGGUUAGCAACCGCACGCGUACCCCCCUCAUGCGUGCGUUUUUGUAUGGGCCGUCCAUUUAUGGGUUUCAUCACCUGUUUUGAAAAGGUUCAAGGUUCUAGAACCUUCCCCGAACCUUUUUUGUUUUUAAUUUUUUCUUUCUGUUUUAUCUUUCCUUUUCUUCCAUGUUUAUUUUCCUGUUUUAUUUUUAUUUUUUCUUUUGUUUUAUAUUAUAUUUUAUUUUUUUCUAAUAUUUUAAAUUCGUGAACACUUUUUAAAUUCAUUUUUUUGAAAUCAUAAUUUUUUUAAAUUCACAAACAAUUUUUACAAAUUCGUGAACUUUCUCUUAAAUCAUGAAAUUUUUUACAAUUCGUCUAUAUAUUUUGAAUCAUGAACAUUUUUUAAAGUCAUGAGCAUUUCUUAAGUUGGUGCACAUUUCUUUACAAGUUCGUGGACUUUUUUGAAAUCAUGGAUAUUUUUAAAAAUCAUGCACAAUUUUUAGUUCCUGAACAUUUUUUUACAAAUUCAUGAACAUUCUCUUAAACCGUGAACUUUUUUGAAUUCCCAAAUACUUUUUCUGAAGUCAUGAUUGUUUUCAAAAUUUUGCAACUUUUUAAAUAUCCCGAAUUACAGAAAAAGUAGGAAUAAACCAAAAGAAAAAAAAGGAAAAAACAAGGGGCAUCCCUGCGCGCACAUGGGCCGCCCUUGUAAGAUACAUCUAUCUUUGGUUGAUGAAGGAGGGUUGUGCCGGAGGCUGCAUCGAUGCAGAGAGCGGUGGAGAUGAAUUGGCCCGUCCGUUAGGGGUCUGCAACAGUAUCAAAUCAUCUUUUAUUGCUGGCUAUGGCGAGCUUGCUCCCGUCACUCUGCAGUCGCCGCCGCCGUUGUUCCAGAGUUAGCUCCGGCAGUCGCCGCCAACAUUGCCCUAGACCUUGCUCCGACAGUCGUUGCUGCUGCGGAGCUAAUUCCGCGGUGCCUACCGACGUUCCCGCGGAGCCGGCGCUCCCUGCCUGACUAGGACAACAAGCCCCCUGCUCGUCGCCGCCUCAAAACGUCGGCCGGUGGGAGCUCCAGCUGCGGCGGCGCUCACACCAGAGGCCAGGCUCAUGUUCCCUGCAACCGGUGCCUCGCCCGUCCCGUGUGGUUCCGGCCGUCCGGCGGCGGCAUGUACCCUUCUCCUCUAGCAGGUAGGAGAGACGGGAUGAUGGGAUACGAGAAAAAUUCAGACGUGAUGGGAGUGUUUCCGGCCAAAAUCGAGUGUAAUCUCAAAACCUAAAACCUCCGAAGUGCACGCGCACUAAACGGAGAGAACGAGCGACCGGCUCUCCACCGCACGAUCCCGUCGCGAUCGUAUCGCGCAAGCACCAGGUGCCGCCUGGUCCAUUUCCUCCCAUCGCGUGGUCGUGGGCGGUUUGUCCUUAUCCGACCCAGCGCGGGACCCACAUGUAAGUGGCUAGAGGGAGAUCGUGGGCGGCGGUUUCAAAACGCGAGCCGUUCUCUCCCCCAUUUCCUCCGCUGGUCGUGGCAUUCCUGUUCCUCUCCUCCCUUUCCGCUCUCGCUCUCGCCCCGCAACUGCGGCGUUGUCGCGCCGCGGCUCUCAAAUCACCGGCGGAUUCGUUGCUGGACCGCGGGGGGAUUCGCUGCUGGCCCUUGCCGGCGUUGCAGGUACCUACUACUGUCCUCCCUUUCUUUGUCUUGUCGCCGGGGGGUCUAGGUCGUGUCGAGGUCGUCGGUGGCGGAAAUGGCGAGCUGGGAUUCCUAGGGUUCCUAUGGCAUCAACUGCCUCGUAUGGUCGAUUUGGUGUAGAGGUAUCGUGUGUGCUUCCGUUCGACUCUCCUGUCCUUGGAUUUUGUGCGGCAGCAAGGGACAGUGGUGGUGGGGUUUCAUGGUGGGAGGGUGCGUUGGUGUUGGUGGAGUGGUUGUUGGGAUUUGCGGUCGACGCAGACGUCCCCGACGGCCUUUUGUUGUCCCUCCUCUCUCUGUCUCGUCGCCGGGGGUGAGGCCGUGUCCAGGUUGACGGUGGCGGAUGUGGCGGGCUGCAUAGGGUCCCUUGACGUGUUUGCUUCGAUUCGACCUUCAUAUGCUUCGAUUUUGUGCAAAUUAGAAGCAAUUGUAGACAAUUUUUGAGAUAAUAUAGCCAAUCUGCCAGCCUUGUGGUGGAUCUCCUGGUUCAUGCGUUCUCCCUUGUUGUGUGCAACUAGGGACCAUUACCUGUGCAAAUUAGUACCUAUGCUUGCCAAUUUCCCAAUAUACUCUAUCCAAGCUGCCAGUCUUUGUGAUGGAUCUGGUGGUUUGUGUGUUUUCCCCCUGCUGUGUGCAACUAGGGACCCUUGUUUGUGUAAUUUAGCACCAAUGCUUGCCGGUUUUCUAAUAUAGUCAACCCAAUCUGCCAGCCUUGUGGUGGAUGUGGUGGUUCACGUGUUUUCUCCUGCUGUGUGCAAAUAGGGACCAUCACUUGUGCAAAUUAGUACCACUGGUUGCCAAUUUUCCAAUAUAGUGUACUGAUUUUUCUGCCAGCUUUUGUGCUGGAUCUGGUCCUUCGUGUGUUUUUCCCGUGCCGUGUGCAACUAGGGCCCCUUGAUCGUGCAAAGCAGUAUCAAUGCUUGCCAAUUUUUCAAUAUAGUCUACCCAAUCUGCCAGUCUUGUUGUGGAUGUGGUUGUUCAUGUCUUUUCCCCUACUGUGUGCAACUAGGGACCCUUAUUUAUGCAAAUUAGUACCAAUGUUUGCCAAUUUCCAAUAUAGUAUACCCAAUCUGCCAGUCUUGUUGUGGAUGUGGUUGUUCAUGUGUUUUCCCCUGAUGUGUGCAACUAGGGACCCUUAUUUGUACAAAUUAGUACCAAUGCUUGUUGAUUUUCCAAUAUAGUAUACCCAAUUUGUUUUGCUGGAUAUAUUCUUGUUGGCUAUGCAUGUUUUGUUUGUCCCAGUUGCACAAGUUAUCAUACUCAGCUGGUUGCCUUUAGUUCACUAUUUUCUGCCUAGUUAUUACUUGCCACAGUUAAACUUAGUUGGCUUAUAAGCUGUCUAGUGGCACAAGGUUGACUGCCCAGUUGGCUGCAUCAUUGUAGUAGUUGGCUGUCCACAUGUUUUACAGUUUUUUGCACUAGGUGUCCUGCUUAUGUGUAGAGGUCUGCAGAUCAAAGCAACCUUUUAUGAUUUCUCUAGUUUGUUUGCACAUCUUCUAACUAUGUUUUCUUUUGUUGAAUUUCCCCCCGCAGGGCAAAAAUGGUUAUAAUAGGAGGAGAUGCGGAUGGCAAUGAAGAAGGUGUAUUUUUUUCACUUUUUUGUGUGUUUUGAGUUGUUUCCAACUUAUCCAUGUAUGCUAAUGUCCCUUUUUCAUGUUUUUUGUUGCUUAAUCAGCGUUCUGGAAGUCAGUCCCUUCGUCGGAACUUGAAGCUGAUGGGGAACGUAGUAAUUUCAAAAUUUUCCUACACACGCGCAAGAUCAUGGUGAUGCAUAGAAACGAGAGGGGAGAGUGUUGUCUACGUACCCUCGUAGACCGUAAGUGGAAGCGUUAUGACAACGCGGUUGAUGUAGUCGUACGUCUUCACGAUCGACCGAUCUUAGUACCGAACGUACGCCACCUCCGUGAUCUGCACACAUUCAGCUCGGUGACGUCCCACAAACUCACGAUCCAGCAGAGUGUCGAGGGAGAGUUUCGUCAUCACGACGGCGUGAUGACGGUGAUGAUGAAGCUACCGACACAGGGCUUCGCCUAAGCACUGCAACGAUAUGACCAAAGUGGAAUAUGGUGGAGGGGGCACCGCACACGGCUUGGAACAAUCAACUUGUGUGUCCUAGGGUGCCCCCCUGCCCCGUAUAUAAAGGAGCAAGGGGGGAGGCCGGCUGGCCUUGGGGCGCGCCAAGGAGAGGGGGAAGUCCUCCUCCUAGUGGGAGUAGGACUCCCCUUUCCUAGUCCAACUAGGAAGGAGGAAGGGGAAAGGAAGGAAAGGGAGAGAGGGAGGAAAGAGGAGGCGCCGCCCCCCCUCCUUGUCCAAUUCGGACUCCCAAGGGGGGGGGCAGCCCUAGGCCCUCUGCUCUCUCUCCCACAAGGCCCAUGUUGGCCCAUUAGUUUCCCCGGGGGUUCCGAUAACCCCCCAACACUCCGAUAAAUAUCCGGUGACCCCCGGAACUCAUCCGGUGUCCGAAUAUAGUUGUCCAAUAUAUCAAUCUUUAUGUCUCGACCAUUUCGAGACUCCUCGUCAUGUCCGUGAUCACAUCCGGGACUCCGAACUAUGUUCGGUACAUCAAAACACAUAAACUCAUAAUAUCGAUCGUCACCGAACGUUAAGCGUGCGGACCCUACGGGUUCGAGAACUAUGUAGACAUGACCGAGAGAUGUCUCCGGUCAAUAACCAAUAGCGGAAUGUGGAUCCUCAUAUUGGUUCCUACAUAUUCUACGAAGAUCUUUAUCGGUCAAACCGCAUAACAUACGUUGUUCCCUUUGUCAUCGGUAUGUUACUUGCCCGAGAUUCGAUCGUCGAUAUCCUCAUACCUAGUUCAAUCUCAUUACCGGCAAGUCUCUUUACUCUUUCCGUAAUGCAUCGUCCCGCAACUAACUCAUUAGUCACAAUGCUUGCAAGGCUUAUAGUGAUGUGCAUUACCGAGAGGGCCCAGAGAUACCUCUCCGAUAAUCGGAGUGGCAAAUCCUAAUCUCGAUCUAUGCCAACUCAACAAACACCAUUGGAGACACCUGUAGAGCACCUUUAUAAUCACCCAGUUACGUUGUGACGUUUGCUAGCACACAAAGUGUUCCUCCGGUAUUCGGGAGUUGCAUAAUCUCAUAGUCAUAGGAACAUGUAUAAGUCAUGAAGAAAGCAAUAGCAACAUACUAAACGAUCAAGUGCUAAGCUAACGAAAUGGGUCAAGUCAAUCACAUCAUUCUCCAAUGAUGUGAUCUCGUUAAUCAAAUGACAACUCAUGUCUAUGGCUAGGAAACUUAAUCAUCUUUGAUUCAACGAGCUAGUCAAGUAGAGGCAUACUAGUGACACUCUGUUUGUCUAUGUAUUCACACAUGUACUAAGUUUCCGGUUAAUACAAUUCUAGCAUGAAUAAUAAACAUUUAUCAUGAAAUAAGGAAAUAAAUAAUAACUUUAUUAUUGCCUCUAGGGCAUAUUUCCUUCAGUCUCCCACUUGCACUAGAGUCAAUAAUCUAGAUCACAUCACCAUGUGAUUAACAUCAAUAGUUCACAUCACCCUGUGAUUUACACCCAUAGUUCACAUCGCCAUGUGACCAACACCCAAAGGGUUUACUAGAGUCAACAAUCUAGUUCACAUCUCUAUGUGAUUAACACCCAAAGAGUACCUAGGUGUGAUCAUGUUUUGCUUGUGAGAGAAGUUUUAGUAUACGGGUCUCCCACAUUCAGAUCCGUAAGUAUUUUGCAAAUUUCUAUGUCUACAAUGCUCUGCACAGAGCUACUCUAAAUAAUUGCUCGCACUUUCAAUAUGUAUCCAGAUUGAGACGCAAAGUCAUCUGGAUCGGUGUAAAAGCUUGCAUCGACGUAACUCUUUACGACGAACUCUUUGUCACCUCCAUAACCGAGAAAUAUUUCCUUAGUCUUCUAAGGAUAAUUUUGACCGCUGUCCUGUGAUCUACUCCUAGAUCACUAUUGUACUCCCUUGCCAAACUUAUGGUGAGGUACAUAAUAGGUCUAGUACACAGCAUAGCAUACUUUAUAGAACCUAUGGCCGAGGCAUAGGGAAUGACUUUCAUUCUCUUUUUUUUUCUGCCGUGAUCGGGUUUUGAGUCUUACUCAAUUUCACACCUUGCAACACAGGCAAGAACUCUUUCUUUGACUGUUCCAUUUUGAACUACUUCAAAAUCUUGUCAAGGUAUGUACUCAUUGAAAAAUCUUAUCAAGCGUCUUGAUCUAUCUCUAUAGAUCUUGAUGCUCAAUAUGUUAGCAGCUUCACCGAGGUCUUUCUUUGAAAAACUUCUUUCAAACACUCCUUUAUGCUUUCCAGAAAAUUCUACAUCAUUUUCGAUCAACAAUAUGUCACUCACAUAUACUUAUCAGAAAGGCUGUAGUGCUCCCACUCACUUUCUUGUAAAUACAGGCUUCACUGCAAGUCUGUAUAAAACUAUAUGCUUUGGUCAACUCAUCAAAGCGUAUAUUCCAACUCCGAGAUGCUUGUACCAGUCCAUCGAUGGAUCGCUGGAGCUUGCACAUUUUGUUAGCACCUUUAGGAUUGACAAAACCUUCUUGUUGUAUCAUAUACAACUCUACUUUUAAGAAAUCCAUUAAGGAAUGCAGUUUUGACAUCCAUUUGCCAUAUUUCAUAAAAUGUGGCAAUUGCCAACAUGAUUCGGACAGACUUAAGCAUCGCUACGAGUGAGAAAAUCUCAUCGUAGUCAACACCUUGAACUUGUCGAAAACCUUUUUGCGACAAUUCGAGCUUUGUAGAUAGUAACACUACUAUCAGCGCCCGUCUUCCUCUUGAAGAUCCAUUUAUUCUUAAUGGCUUGCCGAUCAUCGGGCAAGUCAACCAAAGUCCAUACUUUGUUCUCAUACAUGGAUCCCAUAGGAGAUUUUAUGGCCUCAAGCCAUUUUGCGGAAUCUGGGCUCAUCAUCGCUUCCUCAUAGUUCGUAGGUUCGUUAUGGUUUAGUAACAUGACUUCCAGAACCGGAUUACCGUACCACUCUGGUGCGGAACGUACUCUGGUUGACCUACGAGGUUCGGUAGUAACUUGAUCUGAAGUUUCAUGAUCAUCAUCCUUAACUUCCUCACUAAUUGGUGUAGGCAUCACUGGAACUGAUUUCUGUGAUGAACUACUUUCCAAUUCGGGAGAAGGUACAGUUACCUCGUCAAGUUCUACUUCCCUCCCACUCACUUCUUUUGAGAGAAACUCCUUCUCUAGAAAGGAUCCAUUCUUAGCAACGAAUAUCUUGCCUUCGGAUCUAUGAUAGAAGGUGUACCCAACAGUUUCCUUUGGGUAUCCUAUGAAGAUGCAUUUCUCCGAUUUGGGUUUGAGCUUUAUCAGGUUGAAACUUUUUCACAUAAGCAUCGCAACCCCAAACUUUAAGAAACGACAGCUUAGGUUUCUUGCCAAACCAUAGUUCAUACGGUGUCAUCUCACCGGAUUUAGAUGGUUCCCUAUUUAACGUGAAUGUAGCUGUCUCUAAUGCAUAACCCCAAAAACGAUAGUGGUAAAUCGGUAAGAGACAUCAUAGAUUGCACUAUAUCCAAUAAAGUACGGUUAUGACGUUCGGCCACACCAUUAUGCCGUGGUGUUCUGGGUGGCAUGAGUUUGUGAAACUAUUCCACAUUGUUUUAAUUGAAGGCCAAACUCGUAACUAAAAUAUUUGCCUCCGCGAUCAGAUCGUAGAAACUUUAUUUUCUUGUUACAAUGAUUCUCCACUUCACUCUGAAAUUCUUUGAACUUUUCAACGGUUUCAGAUUUGUGUUUCAUUAAGUGGAUAUACCCAUAUCUGCUCAAAUCAUCCGUGAAGGUCAGAAAAUAACGAUACCGCCGCGAGCCUUAACACUCAUCGGACCGCAUACAUCGGUAUGUAUUAUUUCCAAUAAGUCAGUAGCUCGCUCCAUUGUUCCGGAGAACGGAGUUUUAGUCAUCUUGCCAUGAGGCAUGGUUUGCAAGUAUCAAAUGAUUCACAAUCAAGUGAUUCCAAAAGCCCAUCAGCAUGGAGUUUCUUCAUGCGCUUUACACCAAUAUGACCUAAACGGCAGUGCCACAAAUAAGUUGCACUAUCAUUAUUAACUUUGCAUCUUUUGGCUUCAAUAUUAUGAAUAUGUGUAUCACUACGAUCGAGAUCCAACAAACUAUUUUCAUUGGGUGUAUGACCAUCGAAGGUUUUAUUCAUGUAAACAGAACAACAAUUAUUCUCUGACUUUAAAUGAAUAAAUGUAUUGCAAUAAACAUGAUCAAAUCAUAUUCAUGCUCAACGUAAACACCAAAUAACAUUUAUUUAGGUUCAAUACUAAUCCCAAAGUAUAGGAAGUGUGCGAUGAUGAUCAUAUCAAUCUUUGGAACCACUUCCAACACACAUCGUCACUUCACCCUUAACUAGUCUCUGUUCAUUCUGCAACUCCCGUUUCGAGUUACUAAUCUUAGCAACUGAACUAGUAUCAAAUACUGAUGGGUUGCUAUAAACACUAGUAAAGUACACAUCAAUAACAUGUAUAUCAAAUAUACCUUUGUUCACUUUGCCAUCCUUCUUAUCCGCCAAAUACUUGGGGCAGUUCCGCUUCCAGUGACCAGUCCCUUUGCAGUAGAAGCACUUAGUCUCAGGAUUAGGUCCAGACUUGGGCUUCUUCACUUGAGCAGCAACUUGCUUGCCGUUCUUCUUGAAGUUCCCCUUCUUCCCUUUGCCCUUUUCUUGAAACUAGUGGUCUUGUCAACCAUCAACACUUGAUGCUUUUCUUGAUUUCUACCUUUGUCGAUUUCAACAUCACGAAGAGCUUGGGAAUCGUUUCCGUUAUCCCUUGCAUAUUAUAGUUCAUCACGAAGUUCUAGUAACUUGGUGAUAGUGACUAGAGAACUCUGUUAAUCACUGACACGUCUCCAACGUAUCUAUAAUUUUUGAUUGUUCCAUGCUAUUAUAUUAUCUGUUUUGUAUGUUUAAUGAGCUUUAUUAUGCACUUUUAUAUUAUUUUUGGGACUAACCUACUAACCAAAGGCCCAGUGCAAAUUGCUGUUUUUUUGCCUAUUUCAGUGUUUCGCAGAAAAGGAAUAUCAAACGGAAUGAAACCUUUGGAAGAAUUAUUUUUGGAACAAACGCAAUCCAGGAGACUUGGAGUGGACGUCAAGGAAGCAACGAGGCGGCCACGAGGUAGGGAGACGCGCCCCCCACCCUCGUGGGCCCCUCUUGGCUCCACCGACCUACUUCUUUCGCCUAUAUAUACUCAUAUACCCUGAAAACAUUCGAGAGCACCACAAAAUCCUAUUUCCACCACCGCAACCUUCUGUACCUGUGAGAUCCCAUCUUGGGGCCUUUUCUGGCGCUCCGUCGGAGGGGGAAUCGAUCACGGAGGGCUUCUACAUCAACACCAUAUAUAGCCUCUCCGAUGAUGUGUCAGUAGUUUACCACAGACUUUCGGGUCCAUAGUUAUUAGCUAGAUGGCUUCUUCUCUCUCUUUGGAUCUCAAUACAAAGUUCUCCUCGAUUCUCUUGGAGAUCUAUUUGAUGUAAUUCUUUUUGCAGUGUGUUUGUCGAGAUCCGAUGAAUUGUGGGUUUAUGAUCAAGAUUAUCUAUGAACAAUAUUUGGUUCUUCUCUGAAUUCUUAUAUGUAUGAUUUGAUAUCUUUGCAAGUCUCUUCGAAUUAUCAGUUUGGUUUGGCCUACUAGAUUGAUCUUUCUUGCAAUAGGAGAAGUGCUUAGCUUUGGGUUCAAUCCUGCGGUGUCCUUUCCCAGUGACAGCAGGGGCAGCAAGGCACGUAUUGUAUUGUUGCCAUCGAGGAUAAAAAUAUGGGGUUUAUAUCAUAUUGCUUGAGUUUAUCCCUCUACAUCAUGUCAUCUUGCCUAAUGCGUUACUCUGUUCUUAUGAACUUAAUACUCUAGAUGCAUGCUGGAUAGCGGUCGAUGUGUGGAGUAAUAGUAGUAGAUGCAGAAUCGUUUCGGUCUACUUGUCGCCGACGUGAUGCCUAUAUACAUGAUCAUGCCUAGAUAUUCUCAUAACUAUGCGCUUUUCUAUCAAUUGCUCGACAGUAAUUUGUUCACGCACCGUAGAUUAUGCUAUCUUGAGAGAAGCCACUAGUGAAACCUAUGGCCCCCGGGUCUAUCUUCCAUCAUAUUAUUUUCCUAUCAAUUUGCUAUUUCUGCCGCCGUUUAUUUUGCAAUCUUUACUUUCCAAUCUAUAUCAUAAAAAUACCAAAAAUAUUUAUCUUAUUAUCUCUAUCAGAUCUCACUUUUGCAAGUGGCCGUGAAGGGAUUGACAACCCCUUUAUCGCGUUGGUUGCAAGGUUCUUAUUUGUUUGUGCAGGUACAAGGCGACUUGCGUGUAACCUCCCACUGGAUUGAUACCUUGGUUCUCAAAAACUGAGGGAAAUACUUACGCUACUUUGCUGCAUCACCCUUUCCUCUUCAAGGGAAAACCAACGCAUGCUCAAGAGGUAGCAAGAAGGAUUUUUGGCGCCGUUGCCGGGGAGGCUUACGCCAAGUCAAGUCAAGAUUUGAUCUCCCAGCAACUAGCCAUUUCUGGCACCGUUGCCGGGGAGAUCUACGCACAAGUCAAGACAUACCAAGUACCCAUCACAAACUCUUAUCCCUCGCAUUACAUUAUUUGCCAUUUGCCUCUCGUUUUCCUCUCCCCCACUUCACCUUUGCCGUUUUAUUCGCCCUCUUUUUUCGUUCGUCUCUUUUCGCUUGCUUUUUGUGUGCUCGUUCUUUGUGCAAUUUGCCGCCAUCAUGCCUGAAACUGGGGAGGUUAUCGUUGAUAAGGAUAGUAGUAAUAACAUGGAAAACUUUGAUGCUUUUGAUGAUCCUCAUGAAGAACCUACAUUUUACACACUAAAAUGUUACAGAUUGGUACCGGUAAUAUUAUUGGAAAAGGAGUUAUUCAAGAUUUCUUUACUUGUGCCGGUGCCCUGCCCUCUAUGGGUGGGUCUAUUCUUCAUAGAACUAGUAGUCUUGCGGAUGCUAUAUCCUUGCUCGUAGUUGAACUAGAAAGACAAUUUAUUCAUAUGCAUCCUUGCAUACAAAUGAUUUUUCUAGAGUUUUCCAAUAUCGAGCAUUCUUCUGUUAAGCGUGCAGCUACUAUCUUUUUGGCACAUGAGUUCAGAUUUAUAAUAAAAGAGGCCAAUGAAAUUUUUGCGCAUUAUAGGGUGGACGCUGGCCGUCCUCCCAUAGAAGCUAUCCUUUUUAAUCAAGAAGACUUAAUGCGUUUACGGUCUUUAGAUCAUGUUGCUUAUAAUGAAAACCUUAGAAAAAAGGUUCCUACCGACGCUCUAGUCGACAGAAUCUCUGAACUCAAUGAUGAUUUUGCUAUUGAGAACAAUGGGUUAGGUUUUUCUCUUGAACAAAGGCUCAUGACUUCUUUUCCAAAAGAAUGCUUAUAAUGAUGAAUUGGUUGUGCAAUAUAAGGGGCCAAAGGAGGAACCCAUACCUCCCGAGCUUGAUCUUGGGGACUUUUGUCCCAUUAAAUUUAGCCCUUUUGAUUUGCUUGCCACAAAGAAAACUUGCUGCUGAACGUAGGGAAUAUGAGAUGAGUUUUCGCGAUUUGCCUUACUAUUAUUAUGAUAAUACCUAGAUCUAUUCUUGCCUUUAUGCCUAGCUAGGGGCGUUAAACGAUAGCGCUUGUUGGGAGGCAACCCAAUUUUAUUUUUGUUCCUUGCAUUUUGUUCCUGUUUAGUAAUAAAUAACUCAUCUAGACUCUGGUUAGAUGUGGUUUUAUGUUUUAAUUAGUGUUUGUGCCAAGUAGAACCUUUGGGAAGACUUGGGUGAAGUCUUUGAGAUCUUGCUGUAAAAAACAGAAACUUUUGCGCUCACGAGAUUAGCUGCCAUUUUUUAAUGGAGAGUGAUUUUAGGUUGAUUAUUUUUGCAGAUGAUUAAUAGACAAAUUGCUCACGUCCACCAAUUUAUUUCAGAAUUUUUAGUGUUACAUAAGUAUACAUUUGAUACAGAUUACUACAGACUAUUCUGUUUUUGACAGAUUCUGUUUUUGUGUGUUGUUUGCUUAUUUUGAUGAAUCUAUGGCUAGUAUCGNNNNNNNNNNNNNNNNNNNNNNNNNNNNNNNNNNNNNNNNNNNNNNNNNNNNNNNNNNNNNNNNNNNNNNNNNNNNNNNNNNNNNNNNNNNNNNNNNNNNNNNNNNNNNNNNNNNNNNNNNNNNNNNNNNNNNNNNNNNNNNNNNAAGUUGGAAUACAGUAGGUUUAACACCAAUAUAAAUAAAGAAUGAGUUCUUUACAGUACCUUAAAGUGGUGAUUUGUUUUCUUAUACUAACGGAGCUCAUGAGAUUUUCUGUUGAGUUUUGUGUUGUGAAGUUUUCAAGUUUUGGGUAAAUAUUUGAUGGAUUAUGGAAUAAGGAGUGGCAAGAGCCUAAGCUUGUGGAUUCCCAAGGCACCCCAAGGUAAAAUUCAAGGACAACCAAAAGCCUAAGCUUGGGGAUGCCCCGGAAGGCAUCCCCUCUUUUGUCUUCGUCUAUCGGUAACUUUACUUGAGGCUAUAUUUUUAUUCACCACAUGAUAUGCGUUUUGCUUGGAGCGUCUUGUAUGAUUUGAGUCUUUGCUUUUUAGUUUACCACAAUCAUCCUUGCUGACCUUUUGGAGAGACACACAUGAAUCGGAAUUUAUUAGAAUACUCUAUGUGCUUCACUUAUAUCUUUUGAGCUAGAUAAUUUUGCUCUAGUGCUUCACUUAUAUCUUUUAGAGCACGGUGGUGGUUUUAUUUUAUAGAAAUUAUUGAUCUCUCAUGCUUCACUUAUAUUACUUUGAGAGUCCUUUAGAACAGCAUGGUCAUUUGCUUUGGUUAUAAAAUUAGUCCUAAUAUGAUGAACAUCCAAGAUGGGUAUAAUAAAAACUUUCAUAUAAAGUGCAUCGAAUACUAUGAGAAGUUUGAUACUUGAUAAUUGUUUUGAGAUAUGAAGAUGGUGAUAUUAGAGUCAUGCUAGUUGAGUAGUUGUGAAUUUGAGAAAUACUUGUUCUAAAGUUUGUGAUUCCCAUAGCAUGCACGUAUGGUGAACCGUUAUGUGAUGAAGUCGGAGAUGAUUUAUUUAUUGAUUGUCUUCCUUAUGAGUGGCGGUCGGGGAAGAGCAAUGGUCUUUUCCUACCAAUGUACCCCCCUAGGAGCAUGCGCGUAGUACUUCGUUUCGAUAACUAAUAGAUUUUUGCAAUAAGUAUGUGAGUUCUUUAUGACUAAUGUUGAGUCCAUGGAUUAUACGCACUCUCACCCUUCCAUCAUUGCUAGCCUCUCUAAUACCGUGCACCUUUCGCCGGUAUCAUACACCCACCAUAUACCUUCCUCAAAACAGCCACCAUACCUACCUAUUAUGGCAUUUUCAUAGCCAUUCCGAGAUACAUUGCCAUGCAACUUUCCACCGUUCCGUUUAUUAUGACACGCUCCAUCAUUGUCAUAUUGCUUUGCAUGAUCAUGUAGUUGACAUCGUAUUUGUGGCAAAGCCACCUUUAUAAUUCUUUCAUACAUGUCACUCUUGAUUCAUUGCAUAUCCCGGUACACCGCCGGAGGCAUUCACACAGAGUCAUAUUUUGUUCUAAGUAUUGAGUUCUAAUUUUUGAGUUGUAAGUAAACAAAAGUGUGAUGAUCAUCAUUAUUAGAGCAUUGUCCCAAGUGAGGAAAGGAUGAUGGAGACUGUGAUUCCCCCACAAGUCGGGAUGAGACUCUGGACGAAAAGAAAAAAAAAGAAAAAAAAGAGGCCAUAAAAAGAGAGAGAGAGAGAAAAGGCCCAAAUAAGAAAAAGAGAGAAAAAGAGAGGAGGGACAAUGUUACUAUCCUUUUACCACACUUGUGCUUUAAAGUAGCACCAUGAUCUUCAUGAUAGAGAGUCUCCUAUGUUGUCACUUUCAUAUACUAGUGGGAAUUUUACAUUAUAGAACUUGGCUUGUAUAUUCCAAUGAUGGGCUUCCUCAAAAUGCCCUAGGUCUUCGUGAGCAAGCAAGUUGGAUGCACACCCACUUAGUUUCUUUUGUUGAGCUUUCAUACACUUAUAGCUCUAGUGCAUCCGUUGCAUGGCAAUCCCUACUCACUCACAUUGAUAUCUAUUGAUGGGCAUCUCCAUAGCCCGUUGAUAUGCCUAGUUGAUGUGAGACUAUCUUCUCCUUUUUGUCUUCUCCACAACCACCCUUCUAUUCCACAUAUAGUGCUAUGUCCAUGGCUCACGCUCAUGUAUUGCGUGAAGAUUGAAAAAGUUUGAGAACAUCAAAAGUAUGAAACAAUUGCUUGGCUUGUCAUCGGGGUUGUGCAUGAUUUAAAUAUUUUGUGUGAUGAAGAUAGAGCAUAGCCAGACUAUAUGAUUUUGUAGGGAUAACUUUCUUUGGCCAUGUUAUUUUGAGAAGACAUGAUUGCUUUGUUAGUAUGCUUGAAGUAUUAUUAUUUUUAUGUCAAUACUAAACUUUUAUCUUGAAUCUUUCGGAUCUGAACAUUCAUGCCACAAUAAAGAAAAUUACAUUGAGAAUUAUGCUAGGUAGCAUUCCACAUCAAAAAUUCUGUUUUUAUCAUUUACCUACUCGAGGACGAGCAGGAAUUAAGCUUGGGGAUGCUUGACAUGUCUCCAACGUAUCUAUAAUUUUUGAUUGUUCCAUGCUAUUAUAUUAUCUGUUUUGGAUGUUUAAUGGGCUUUAUUAUGCACUUUUGUAUUAUUUUUGGGACUAACCUACUAACCAAAGGCCCAGUGCAAAUUGCUGUUUUUUUGCCUAUUUCAGUGUUUCGCAGAAAAGGAAUAUCAAACGGAAUCCAAACGGAAUGAAACCUUCGGGAGAGUUAUUUUUUGAACAAACGCAGUCCUGGAGACUUGGAGUGGACGUCAAGGAAGCAACGAGGCGGCCACGAGGUAGGGAGGCGCGCCCAGAGGGGUAGGCGCGCCCCCACCCUCGUGGGCCCCUCGUGGCUCCACCGACCUACUUCUUUCGCCUAUAUAUACUCAUAUACCCUAAAAACAUCCGAGAGCACCACGAAACCCUAUUUCCACCGCCGCAACCUUCUGUACCCGUGAGAUCCCAUCUUGGGGCCUUUUCCGGCGCUUCGCCGGAGGGGGAAUCGAUCAUGGAGGGCUUCUACAUCAACACCAUAGCCUCUCCGAUGAUGUGUGAGUAGUUUACCACAAACCUUCGGGUCCAUAGUUAUUAGCUAGAUGGCUUCUUCUAUCUCUUUGGAUCUCAAUACAAAGUUCUCCUCGAUUCUCUUGGAGAUCUAUUCGAUGUAAUUCUUUUUGCGCUGUGUUUGUCGAGAUCCGAUGAAUUGUGGGUUUAUGAUCAAGAUUAUCUAUGAACAAUAUUUGGUUCUUCUCUGAAUUCUUACAUGUAUGAUUUGAUAUCUUUGCAAGUCUCUUCGAAUUAUCAGUUUGGUUUGGCCUACUAGAUUGAUGUUUCUUGCAAUAGGAUAAGUGCUUAGCUUUGGGUUCAAUCUUGCGGUGUCCCUUUGAUACGUCUCCGUCGUAUCUACUUUUCCAAACACUUUUGCCCUUGUUUUGGACUCUAACUUGCAUGAUUUGAAUGGAACUAACCCGGACUGACACUGUUUUCAGCAGAAUUUCCAUGGUGUUAUUUAUGUGCAGAAACAAAAGUUCUCGGAAUGACCUGAAACUCCACGGAGAUUAUUUUUGGAAAUAAUAAAAAAUAUUGGCGAAAGAAUCAAGGCCAGGGGGCCCACACCCUGUCCACGAGGGUGGGGGGCGCGCCCCCUGCCUCGUGGCCCCCAUGGAGCUCCACCGACCUCAACUCCAACUCCAUAUAUUCGUGUUUUGGGAGAAAAAAUCAGGGAGAAAGAUUCAUCAUGUUUUACGAUACGGAGCCGCCGCCAAGCCCUAAACUCUCUCGGAAGGGCUGAUCUGGAGUCCGUUCGGGGCUCCGGAGAGGGGAAUCCGUCGCCAUCGUCAUCAUCAACCAUCCUCCAUCACCAAUUUCAUGAUGCUCACCGCCGUGCGUGAGGAAUUCCAUCGUAGGCUUGCUGGACGGUGAUGAGUUGGAUGAGAUUUAUCAUGUAAUCGAGUUAGUUUUGUUAGGGUUUGAUCCCUAGUAUCCACUAUGUUCUGAGAUUGAUGUUGCUAUGACUUUGCUAUGAUUAAUGCUUGUCACUAGGGCCCGAGUGCCAUGAUUUCAGAUCUGAACCUAUUAUGUUUUCAUGAAUAUAUGUGAGUUCUUGAUCCUAUCUUGCAAGUCUAUAGUCACCUACUAUGUGUUAUGAUCCGGCAACCCCGAAGUGACAAUAAUCGGGACCACUCCCGGUGAUGACCGUAGUUUGAGGAGUUCAUGUAUUCACUAUGUGUUAAUGCUUUGGUCCGGUACUCUAUUAAAAGGAGGCCUUAAUAUCCUUAGUUUCCAUUAGGACCCCGCUGCCACGGGAGGGUAGGACAAAAGAUGUCAUGCAAGUUCUUUUCCAUAAGCACAUAUGACUAUAUUUGGAAUACAUGCCUACAUUACAUUGAUGAAUUGGAGCAAGUUCUGUGUCACCCUAUGUUAUGAUUGUUACAUGAUGAACCGCAUCCGGCAUAAUUCUCCAUCACCGAUCCAAUGCCUACGAGCUUUUCACAUAUUGUUCUCUGCUUAUUUACUUUUCCGUUGCUACUGUUACAAUUACUACAAAACCCAAAAAAAUUACUUUUGUUACCGUUACCGUUACUUCCAUAUUACUUUGCUACUAAAUACUUUGCUGUAGAUACUAAGUUAUCCAGGUGUGGUUGAAUUGACAACUCAACUGCUAAUACUUGAGAACAUUCUUUGGCUCCCCUUGUGUCGAAUCAAUAAAUUUGGGUUGAAUAGUGUACCCUCGAAAACUGUUGCGACCCCCUAUACUUGUGGGUUAUCAAGACUAUUUUCUAGCGCUGUUGCCGGGGAGCAUAGCUCUAUUCUUUGAGUCACUUGGGAUUUAUAUCUACUGGUCACUAUGAAGAACUUGAAAGACGAGAAAACAAAAAUUUAUCCCUCAACUACGAGGGGAGGUAAGGAACUGCCAUCUAGCUCUGCACUUGAUUCACCUUCUGUUUGAGUAAGCUUGCGACACCUAAACCUGCUUCUGCUAUUAAUUCUGAUAUGUCGCAUGUUAUUGAUGAUGCCACUUCUGCUAUGCAUGAUACUUAUGAUGAAACUACUUCUAUGCUUGAUACUACUAUGCCACUUGGUGAAUUUCUUGAUGAACAACUUGCUAGGUCUAGAGAGAAUGAAAUUAUUGAAACUGAUAAUAUUGAUGAAAGUGAUGAUGAAGGCUCUCCCAAUAAAUAUGAAUUGCCUGUUGUGCCUGAGGGCUAUGUUAUGGAUGAAGAAACUAAAAGAGACUUUCUUGCUUGCAAUGAUAGAAGUGAUCUUAAGAAAUUAUUAGCUAAGCUUAAACAAAAAACACUGAAUGCUUGAAUGAAAUAUGAUCCUGCUUAUGCUACCUCACCUAUCUUUGUUACUGAUAAGGAUUAUGAAUUCUCUAUUGAUCAUAAUAUAAUUACUUUGGUUGAAUCUGAUCCUUUUUAUGGCUAUGAAUCUGAAACAGUUGUGGCACACCUUACUAAAUUAAAUGAUAUAGCCACCCUGUUCACUAAUGAUGAGAGAACUCGCUACUUUUAUAUCCUUAAAAUAUUUCCAUUCUCAUUAAAGGGUGAUGCCAAGAUAUGGUUUAAUUCUCUUGAUCCUGGUUGUGUGCGUAGUCCCCAGGAUAUGAUUUAUUACUUCUCUGCUAAAUAUUUCCCUGCUCAUAAGAAACAAGCUACUUUAAGGGAUAUAUCUAAUUUUGUGCAAAUUGAAGAAGAGAGUCUCCCAGAAGCUUGGGGGAGGCUUCUCCAAUUACUCAAUGCUUUGCCUAAUCAUCCUCUUAAGAAAAAUGAAAUACUUGAUAUCUUUUAUAAUGGACUAACCGAUGCUUCCAGAGAUUACCUGGAUAGUUGUGCUGGUUCUGUUUUCAGGGAAAGAACACCAGAUGAAGCUGAAAUUCUAUUGAAUAAUAUGUUGACAAAUGAAAAUAAUUGGACACUUCCUGAGCCAACUCCUGAGCCUAUUCCUAAGCCAACUCUGAAGAAGAGGGGUGUUCUAUUUCUCAGUCCUGAAGAUAUGCACGAGGCAAAGAAAUCUAUGAAAGAAAAGGGUAUUAAAGCUGAAGAUGUUAAGAAUUUACCUCCUAUUGAAGAAAUACAUGGUCUUAAUUUACCGCCUGUUGAAUAAAUAUAUGAUCUUAAUCCAUUACCUAUUGAAGAAACUCAUGGUCUUGAUAACCCGACACAGGUAGUAAAUGUAAAUUCUCUCUAUAGAUAUGAUAAAGCUGAGAUCCCUCCUACUAAGUUUGCUAGCCAAUGUUUGGAUGAGUUUGAUAACUUUAUGGUUAAGCAAGAAGAUUUUAAUGCUUAUUUUGGUAGACAAUUAAAACAAAAUGCUUAUAUGAUUGAACACUUGGGUGAUCAUAUGUCUAGAGUUAAAGGUGAACUUAAACUCAUUAGUAAACAUGCUUCUAUGGUUACCACUCAACUAGAACAAGUACUUAAGGCUCAAAAUGACUUGCUCAAUGAAUUGAAUAGUAAGAAUAAUGACUAUGUUGUUAGAGUGGCUACUAGAACUGGUAAAAUGAUUCAAGAACCUUUGUAUCCUGAAGGUCAUCCUAAGAGAAUUGAGCAAGAUUCUCAGAGAAAUAAUUUAGAUGCACCUAGUCCUUCUAAAAAGAAGAAAAAUAAAAAUGAUAGGACUUUGCAUGCUUCUAGUGAACCUAUUGCUGAACCACCUGAGAAUCCUAAUGAUAUUUCUAUUUCUGAUGUUGAAACACAAUCUGGUAAUGAACAUGAACCUAGUGAUAAUAUUAAUAAUGAUGUUCAUAAUGAUGCUCAACCUAGCAAUGAUAAUGAUGUAGAAAUUGAACCAGCUGUUGAUCUUGAUAACCCACAAUCAAAGAAUCAACGUUAUGAUAAGAGGGACUUUGUUGCUAGGAAACACGGUAAAGAAAGAGAACCAUGGGUUCAGAAACUCACGCCUUUUCCUCCCAAACCAUCCAAGAAAAAGGAUGAUGAGGAUUUUGAGCGCUUUGCUGAAAUGAUUAGACCUAUCUUUUUGCGUAUGCGAUUAACUGAUAUGCUCAAAAUGAAUCCUUAUGCUAAGUAUAUGAAAGAUAUUGUUACUAAUAAAAGAAAGAUACCGGAAGCUGAAAUUUCCACCAUGCUUGCUAAUUAUACUUUUAAAGGUGGAAUACCUAAGAAACUUGGAGAUCCAGGAGUACCUACUAUACCAUGCUCCAUUAAAAGAAACUAUGUUAAAACUGCUUUAUGUGAUCUUGGAGCCGGUGUUAGUGUCAUGCCUCUCUCUUUAUAUCGUAGACUUGAUUUGAAUAAGUCGACACCUACUGAAAUAUCUUUGCAAAUGGCUGAUAAAUCAACUGCUAUACCUGUCGGUAUUUGUGAGGAUGUGCCUGUUGUGGUUGCAAACGUUACUAUUUUAACGGACUUUGUUAUUCUUGAUAUUCCCGAGGACGAUAGUAUGACUAUUAUUCUUGGAAGACCCUUUUUGAAUACUGCAGGGGCUGUUAUUGAUUGCAGCAAAGGCAAUGUAACUUUUCAUGUUAAUGGUAAUGAGCAUACGGUACACUUUCCAAGGAAACAACCUCAAGUCCACAGUAUCAAUUCUAUUGGAAAAAUUCCAUCAAUUAUUUUUGGAGGUUUUGAAUUUCCUCUUCCUACUGUCAAAAAAGAUAUGAUAUUCUUAUUAUUGGGGAUGUGCAUAUCCCUGUUGAGGUAACAUAGUGUUAUUCGAAAUUUCUCCGGUUCCAUGUUAGUUGGAAUGAGUUUGUUAACAAGACUUGAUCAACCUUGUUAGUGGAUUCCUUUUGAUGAGCAUGAGCUGGAUGAAGUUAGAAAGCACAACCUUCUGUACGCUCUCUCUACUUUCUGUUAUUUAGUUGAAAUAAAGUAAAAAUAGUAUUUUUCUGUCUGUUUUCUGAAUUAUCCGUGCAAUAUAAAAAUACCCCGAAAAUAAAAGUUCUCCAAAUGCCCUGCCAAUUUAAUAUGAUUUUUUCUGGAAUAUUUGAGAAUAUCUGGCACUGAGAACACAAUAGGGGGAGCAAGCACCUGGCCACGAGGAUCCAGGGCGCGCCCACCCCCUGGGCGCGCCCCCUGCCUUGUUGGCCCGCGGUGGCCCCCCUCCACUUAUGCCAGCCACCACACACUUCUUCUUCCUCCCAAAAAAAUCACCAUCCAGCUCAAGCACGAGUUCUAGCUCAUUUUGUUGCGAUUUUCGACCUCCUUGCUCAAAGCACCUCUCACAAAACUGCUUUGGGGGAUUAUUCCUUGGUAUGUGACUCCUCCAUUGGUCCAAUUAGUUUUUGUUCUAGUGCUUUAUUCAUUGCAAAUUUGUGCUGCCUAGGUGACCAUGUCCUUGAGCUUGCAUGUCAAAUUUAUAUGGUUCCAAGUAGUUCUAAUGCAUGAUAUAAGCUCUAGGCACUUGUAGGAGUAGUUGCUAUCAAUUUUGUUGAGCUUGGUUCACUUUUAUUUGAAGUUACUAAAAAUUUCAGAAUUUUUCAGAAAAUAAUGAAGAGAUUUUUGAGGGGCUCAUCGAGCCAAAGCUCGAAGGAAAAGCAAAGUGAAGAAGCAGAGAGGCCCAAAUAUAAUGUGCCUCGCACCGCGGAGGUUCGGCCGUGUGAAUGGCCUUCCGAUGAUUUCUGGAGAGCAGCCGGGAUUUAUGAUGAUAUUUAUGAAUUGGCUGAGAAUGCAGGCCUCACCGACUUCCUCCAUGACCAACGCGAACAGUAUCUCUUACUCACCAAUACUUUUGUGCAAAACCACUACUAUUAUCCUAAGGAAUCACCUCCUUCAGUAGAGUUUCAUUUAUAUGAUGUGGUUAGGAAGAUGUCACUAUAUGAAUUUUGUAGGGUUUGCAAAAUACCUUUUGAGUGUAGCUUAGAGGAACCACAUCGUAAAGAUGUGGACGGGUUUAUUGAUACUAUUACUGUACGGGAAACUAGGAAGGUUUCCGAUGCAAGAAUCACUAGCAUACAUUUUCCUGUUUUACGCUACUUUGCAAUAUUUGCUAGUCGUUGCUUAAUUGGUCGCGGAAACUGUGGAAACCUUAGUGUUCCUGAUAUUAUUACUUUGUUCCAUGGUUUAUUCUGUGAUAACUCUGUUAGUAUGGGCGGUAUUAUUGCCAAACGGUUAAGUCUGAACCGUACAAAGGGCCCCAUCUUUGGAGGCGUCUAUGCUUCACGCCUUGCUGCAUAUUAUAACAUACCUAUUAGGCACUAUGAAAAAGAAGAAAAAUUGCUGCCUACUGUUUAUUUAGAUUAUAAGAGUAUGGUAGCGCAUGAUUUUAUUGUUAAGAACAGGGAAAGGGCGCUUAAAUACAAAUUGUUCUUUGAUAAACAUCACCCUGAGACUAUUACCUUGCAUGUUCCUUCUUUGUUUGAUUUAUCUGCAGGCUAGUAUCUUGUUCCGCUGGCGGCCAUUCACGCCUACCGGAACCCUACAUCAGCCACAGAGCCAGAGCCAGAACCACAAUUUGAUCCUCCACGAUAGUCUAAUUACCAGUGGGAUCCGGAGAUGAUUGCCAACCAGUGGCAAUCAGAGUCUUCUUCAUCUCAGUACGACCCCAACUACAACUUUGGAUAUCCGCCAGGCCAUCCGUGGCAAUAGACCAACUUAGGCCAAAAGCCUAAGCUUGGGGGAGUACGUAUCUCUCACCGACAUUACAUUCAUGUUCACACACUCAUUGCUAGAUGUCGGUGCUCAUACUUUUUCACUGUAAUAUCCAUGCUAGUUUAUUUUCCUUUUUAUGCUUUCUUCUUGUGUGUUUGAUAAAUCUUAAGAAAAACCAAAAAAAAU